AUUAGAAUGUCGAGUCCCAAAUAGGACGAAAUGCACAUCCUGAAU
rnacentral:hammerhead_ribozyme from 1 species